AGAGACAGGGUUUCACCGUGUUAUCCAGAAUGGUCUCGAUCUCCUGACCUCGUGAUCCGCCUGCCUCGGCCUCCCAAAGUGCUGGGAUUACAGGCGUGAGCCACCGCGCCCAGCCUAGGAGCUUUUCUUUUUAAAGUCCAAUGACUGAAAAGAGUUUACCAAAAUGGCCUGGUGUCAUCCAGCUUCAUGAUGUGAAUGUCUUUAGAUCUACUACUCUAAGGAGCUGCCCAGAUGCUCUAUGUCCCCUGAGGAUUCUUCUAAUCGUUCUGUGGAAUGUGGAGAUGUCUGUGUAUUACGUGACUAUCUGAAAAUCAGUGAUUUCAGAAUGGUGACUCACAGAUCUGGGAUCGGGGAAAAGGAAAAAAUUGUGAAAAACUAAACAGACGUCACCUUUUUCAUGUUUUUGAGCUUGACUGGAAUCAAGAUUUCACAUGGCACUUUGAGGACAGGAUUAUUAAUAGCCUUUGUGUCAGCCUGAUGGUAAAGCUUUCUCUUUGAAUCCUU
rnacentral:lncRNA from 1 species